AUGUGGUUUGACAUUUGGCGGGAACCUACUUUCACUUUAGGGAAGUUGAAUUCUUUCGAAUUAGAUAUCAGAACUGGCUUGAUAUUUAUUUUCAGCGUUUUGAUUUUAAUCUAUUUUGAGCGAUAUCAUGACAAAAAAGCUCCUCCUUCUUGUGGUGGAUGGAUUCCAUGGCUUGGAUGCGCAGUUCAGUUUGGAAAACAACCACUCGGAUUUAUCAAAAGGAAAUCACAAGAGUUUGGAUCAAUAUUUACCUUGUAUGUUGCUGGGGAGAGGUUGACUUUUCUGACAGAUCCGAAGGAUUUCCAUUAUUUCUUUGACAAUUCGGACGUUGAUUUCCAACAAGCUGUACAAGUGCCUGUCCAAAAUCUAGCAUCAAUAAGUAGAACACAGUUUUACAAAUACCACACCAAACUUCACGAUAUGGUGAAAGGUCGACUCGGGCCGGUGAGAGUUGGGCCGUUGGGGAGCACAUUGAGUGGUCAGCUGAAUCAGCAAUUUGACAAACAUAUAGACCUGACAGAACCACAAGAUUUAAUGAUGAUUACACGAAGAAGUAUGUACGCAUCUGUCUUGAAUACAUUGUUUGGGGAAGGCAACCCUCUCGUCCAUGAAAAGGCUGACUAUGAAGAAUUUUUGAAACGGUUUAUAACUUUUGAUAACGACUUUGAGCUAGGGGUAAAAUUGCCUUCAAUUUUCCUGCCCAAGUGGACCGCAGCGAAAAACUAUUUCCUCAAGAGGAUGGCGCUCACAUUCCAACAAAUGAGAGGUCAAAAUACACAGUCUGAUAAACUGAAUAUGGUAGAUGCCUUAUGGGAUAAACUUGAUGGGGACGAGGUAACCCACAAAUUUGGAAUGCUGGUGAUGUUUGCAUCUAUUGCUAAUGGAGUACCUGCUGCUUAUUGGAUGUUGACAUACAUCUUGACCAAUGAGAUUGUUCGAGAGAAAGUACUGAAGGAGAUAAAUGAUGUAUUUAAGGACUGGCAAGGAAAUGGUGAUUGUACAAUAGAUGAAGAGGACCUGAAGAAAUUGACGUACCUGAAAUGUUGCGUGUAUGAAACGAUACGACUCCGGAGCGAAGGCAUUAUUGGCAGAAAAGUUGUCAAGGAUACUCAAAUAAAGGGAUACAAUGUAGCUGCAGGAACAAUGUUGAUGAUCUCCCCUUAUUGGAGUCACCGUGAUGAGAGGUACUUCACGGAACCAGAAAUGUUUAAACCAGAAAGAUGGGAGAAUAGUAACACUGAUAUACCAGGCUUUGUGGCGUUUGGGGGUGGUAGAUACCAAUGCCCUGGAAGAUGGUUUGGCAUGAUGAGUAUGCAGACAUUUGUUGCCAUGUUUUUCCUCAAGUACACAUGUACUGUGCACAGCCCCAUUCCAGCUCCGAGCUUGAUUCACCUGAUUGGAGUUCAGCAUCCAACAUCUGAGUUCCUGAUCUCAUGCAGCAAGAAAGCCUGAGUGAAUAGACAGCAAAAUAAUGCUGACUGAAAUGUUUAGAUGGACAUAAAGACAGAAUUUACUGGAAGUUAUAAUGCUGAUUUAGUCGAAGCAGGAAAUACCAAGGCAUUUUUUAAAGAAUUUUGCAAGAUUCCAGAGAGACGGAUAAAGUGGCAAAAUUCGAUUGGUUGAAAUACAUAACAAGGAACUACCUAAAGAUGGG
rnacentral:misc_RNA from 1 species